rnacentral:rRNA from 1 species
UACGGAGGGGGCGAGCGUUAUUCGGAAUUAUUGGGCGUAAAGGGCGCGUAGGCGGCUUGGUAAGUCAAAGGUGAAAUCCCUCGGCUCAACUGAGGAAUUGCCUUUGAAACUGCCUGGCUCGAGGCCGGGAGGGGGUAGCGGAAUUCCCAGUGUAGCGGUGAAAUGCGUAGAUAUUGGGAGGAACACCGGUGGCGAAGGCGGCUACCUGGACCGGUUCUGACGCUGAUGCGCGAAAGCCAGGGGAGCAAACGGG